GUUGGAAUUGAUUCUGAUCGAGGUAGUGUAUGGGGAUGCAUCUAAAUCCGCGAGAGCGGCUUAGAAAGAUAAAGGAGCACAAACAAGGGUUGUUUAAAAAUGAACAGAUAAGCUAACGCACUACUGAUUUUCUGCCUACUAGCAAUGCAACUACUCCUGAGAAAGACUCAAACUGAACUAGUUGAAGCUAAGGGCCUGCCUUCCCAGCUACUGAGGUAAGGGGCAAAGGAUCCACUUGAUUCAUCACUUUAUUCAUAACCAUUCACGCUCCGAAACAGGGAGUGAUCAAGUCUUUCGACGGGGGGAAGAAUCGGAAACCAACAAAAUCUAUAUGAAUGGAUUUGCUUCCCCGGCGGAUGGAAAUGAGGGUUUGGUACAAAAAACCUAGAAAGUUGCCAUUGACUGAUUCACCAAGCCAAGCAUUGGAGCAAGCGAGGAAGACCGCUUUUUCCAUCAAAAAAGUAUGGGAAUAGGACCCCAACUUCGAAAUCAAUUCCAACCUUUCGCCCGGUCGCUAACCUAUCUUUUUGAGUCCCUUUGUUCGCCCUUCUUUCCUGCCAGUAGUGUAGGUGGAGGACUUUAUUUACUUUUUUAUGCAAUUGGCUCAACUGGAUAUCGAAUUGAAGCACUUAGAACUCAG
rnacentral:lncRNA from 1 species